GUGCAGUGAUGUGCUUACUAACACAUCAUUCUGAUGGUGUGAUGACUUCCUGUGACUGAGUACA